rnacentral:rRNA from 1 species
UACGGGGGGGGUAAGCGUUGUUCGGAAUUACUGGGCGUAAAGGGCGCGUAGGCGGCCUGCUAAGUCGAACGUGAAAUCCCCGGGCUCAACCCGGGAACUGCGUCCGAUACUGGUUGGCUUGAAUUCGGGAGAGGGAUGUGGAAUUCCAGGUGUAGCGGUGAAAUGCGUAGAUAUCUGGAGGAACACCGGUGGCGAAGGCGGCAUCCUGGACCGAUAUUGACGCUGAUGCGCGAAAGCCAGGGGAGCAAACGGG